UUGCCAUUGCAGUGUGAAUUUGUCAUUGCUUGAAAUUUGAAUCUCCAAUGCUUUAGAUGAAAAAUGCUAUGAAAGUACUCUUUUGUUUUGCUCAUUCUUCUAUUCUGAGGUCGGCACCAUUUUCUGGUAGUUACUAGAAGAUGGCUGAUGCUGAGGAUAUUCCAAUCUGGGGUACUUUUUGUCCAUGAGGUCUAUUGUUCAAUGGUUUUGGGAUCACCGAAGCAUGUGCCCCACCUGUGCAAACUGAACAUAUUGUACAAGCUCUCAGCUUAAGCAUUGUAUAAUACUUCCUAGUUAAACCAAUGACCAGGAGAUUCCUCAACAUGAUAUGCUCUAUUGCCCUGAUUUGAUAGUUUAAAAGGAUGAAGAGGUAGAUAGAAAUGUUUCUAGUAGAGUUAAAGAGUUGGGUGGGUGGGUGAGGAGGAGAUGUGCCUCUAUAGUGUUGGGGUUGCAUGCUAAUGAAACAUGAAGACGGGUUGCAUCGGGCGACGUGGUUGAGAAGACUGUUGAGAGGAGGCAGAAGAGGAUGAUCAAGAACAAGGAGUUUGCUACUCGAUCAGGGGCUAAGAAGCAGGUGGGCCUGUAAAAUCAGGUUGCUUGUUUUGAAAACCAGUUACUUCCAUUUUCUUUUUUUUAAGACUGAGAAUUUAUUCCUCAUUGUGGCAGGCGUACACGAGCGAGCCGGAGAACAAGGUUUCACGUCUGGAAGAAGAGGAUGAAAGGCUCAAGAAGUAGAAGGUGUUUGCCUAUAAUGAGAUGGAUGUUAACAACAGAUGGACAAGUGUGACGUCCAUCCUAAAAUGGGCCACGUAUAAUCAGAAUCCUUCCUGUCCUCAGUGCAAGCAUUUGUUUCAGUUUCUCAGUGUUUAUUGAUCACUAGAUAGAAGUAUUCACGAUUACAUGUUCGAGGAGAGUGUUUGUCUGCUCAUUAGAGCCACUUGGUUUGUGCCUCUACCAUUGGAGGCUUAGGAAGAAUCCUCUUACGAACAAGAAGCUAUCUAUCAGUAUGAGGAUGAGGAGGAUGACGAUCUGGAUGAUGAAGCUUACUUUGGCAGCUCCUCAAGCCUUCAUAUCGGUAACUGUAGGUGUUUUAUACCUCUUUCGUAUACCUCUUUAGUAUCUGGAUGAAUUUUGCCCCUUUUUUUGGCAAUUAAUUGAUUGAAUAAAGGAUUGUAAUUGAUUCAUUAUUGAAUAAAUGAUUGUAAUUGAAUGAAUGAAUGAUUACGCAGGUGGUAAUUGAAUGAAUGAAUGAUUAUAAUUUUUUUAAAUGUAGGCAAUAGCUACGGAUAUUAACCGUAGCUGAGAA